UACGGAGGGUGCAAGCGUUAAUCGGAAUUACUGGGCGUAAAGAGUACGUAGGCGGCUUUUCAAGUCGGAUGUGAAAUCCCUGAGCUUAACUCAGGAACUGCAUUCGAUACUGGAUCGCUAGAGUAUAUUAGAGGAUAGUGGAAUUUCAAGUGUAGCGGUGAAAUGCGUAGAUAUUUGAAGGAACACCAAUGGCGAAGGCAGCUAUCUGGAAUAAUACUGACGCUGAGGUACGAAAGCGUGGGGAGCAAACAGG
rnacentral:rRNA from 1 species